UGGUGCAUGGCCGUUCUUAGUUGGUGGAGUGAUUUGUCUGGUUAAUUCCGAUAACGAACGAGAUUCUAGCCUACUAAAUUGACCGUUGACCCUUAGUGUUGACGGGACUUCUUAGAGGGACAAGCGGCAANUAAGCCGUAUGAAAAAGAGCAAUAACAGGUUUGUGAUGCCCUUAGAUGUCCGGGGCCGCACGCGCGCUACACUGAAGUGAUCAGCGUGCAUAGCUUACCCGCUCUGAAAAGAGUGGGUAACCCAAAGAACCUUCUUCGUGAUAGGGACUGGGCAUUGUAAUUAUUGCCCAUGAACGAGGAAUUCCCAGUAAGCAUGAGUCAUAAGCUCGUGUUGAUUACGUCCCUGCCCUUUGUACACACCGCCCGUCGCUACUACCGAUUGAAUGAUUUAGUGAGGACUUCGGACUAGUCGGUGUGGCUGCCUUACGGUAGCCGCGCUGUACCGGAAAGAUGUCCAAACUUGAUCAUUUAGAGGAAGUAAAAGUCGUAACAAGGUUUC
rnacentral:rRNA from 1 species